rnacentral:rRNA from 1 species
CGUAGGGGGCAAGCGUUAUCCGGAAUCACUGGGUGUAAAGGGAGCGGAGACGGCUGUGCAAGCCUGGAGUGAAAGGCGGGGGCCCAACCCCCGGACUGCUCUGGGAACUGUAUGGCUGGAGUGCAGGAGAGGUAAGUGGAAUUCCUGGUGUAGCGGUGAAAUGCGUAGAUAUCAGGAGGAACACCAGUGGCGAAGGCGGCUUACUGGACUGUAACUGACGUUGAGGCUCGAAAGCGUGGGGAGCAA